UACGGAGGGUGCGAGCGUUGUCCGGAAUCACUGGGCGUAAAGGGUGCGUAGGUGGCGCGGUAAGUCGGGUGUGAAAUCUCGGAGCUUAACCCCGAAAUUGCAUUCGAUACUGCCGUGCUCGAGGACUGGAGAGGAGACUGGAAUUCAUGGUGUAGCAGUGAAAUGCGUAGAGAUCAUGAGGAAGACCAGUGGCGAAGGCGGGUCUCUGGACAGUUCCUGACACUGAGGCACGAAGGCCAGGGGAGCAAACGGG
rnacentral:rRNA from 1 species